AGGAGCCAGCAGGGGAGAGGUUCCUGCACAGCAUUAGAUGUGUCUGACUUCUAAGGAAAAUGAGACUCCAGACACAUUGAUGGGGCAUCAACAAGACUGUGGAUAGGAAAUGAGUGAGCUGCCAACUAUUGAGCUGCUGAGCCGGAGACCACAAGACUCCACUUCUGUCCCCAUCAUCGCAGAGCCCUGCCAUCUGGAGCAGACCUCUGAGGAGAACUCAGCCCGCAGUGACCAUGUUCAGCAGGGCCUCGAGACAGAAGUGCAUCCUUAGCCAGGCCAGCUCAGCGCUGGGGAGAAGCAAGCCC